GCGCUGGACCGUGUACAAGUCUCCUGGAAUGGAGCGUCAUAGAGGGUGAGAAUCCCGUCUUUGACACGGACUGCCAGGGCUUUGUGAUGCGCUCUCAAAGAGUCGAGUUGUUUGGGAAUGCAGCUCAAAAUGGGUGGUAAAUUCCAUCUAAAGCUAAAUAUUGGCGAGAGACCGAUAGCGAACAAGUACCGUGAGGGAAAGAUGAAAAGAACUUUGGAAAGAGAGUUAAACAGUACGUGAAAUUGCUGAAAGGGAAACGCUUGAAGUCAGUCGCGUUGGCCGGGGAUCAACCUUGCUUUUGCUGGGCGUACUUUCCGGUUGACGGGUCAGCAUCAAUUUUGACCGUUGGAUAAAGUUCAGGGGAAUGUGGCAUCCUCGGAUGUGUUAUAGCCUUUGUUCGCAUACAACGGUUGGGAUUGAGGAACUCAGCACGCCGCAAGGCCGGGUAUUUAUACUACGUUCGUGCUUAGGAUGCUGGCAUAAUGGCUUUAAUCGACCCGUCUUGAAACACGGACCAAGGAGUCUAACAUGCCUGCGAGUGUUUGGGUGGAAAACCCGAGCGCGUAAUGAAAGUGAAAGUUGAGAUCCCUGUCGUGGGGAGCAUCGACGCCCGGACCAGACCUUUUGUGACGGAUCCGCGGUAGAGCAUGUAUGUUGGGACCCGAAAGAUGGUGAACUAUGCCUGAAUAGGGUGAAGCCAGAGGAAACUCUGGUGGAGGCUCGUAGCGAUU
rnacentral:rRNA from 1 species